rnacentral:tRNA from 1 species
GCGGGAGUAACUCAGUGGUAGAGUGCCACCUUCCCAAGGUGGACGUCGCGAGUUCGAAUCUCGUUUCCCGCU